rnacentral:rRNA from 1 species
CCUACGGGAGGCAGCAGUGGGGAAUUGUUCGCAAUGGGCGAAGGCCUGACGACGCAACGCCGCGUGGAGGAUGAAGACCUUCGGGUCGUAAACUCCUUUCGACCGAGAAGAAUGGCUCUCGACCUAAUACGUCGAGAGCAUGACGGUACCGAGGGAAGAAGCCCCGGCUAACUCUGUGCCAGCAGCCGCGGUAAUACAGGGGGGGUCAAGCGUUGUUCGGAAUUACUGGGCGUAAAGGGUUCGUAGGUGGCCAACUAAGUCAGACGUGAAAUCCCUCAGCUUAACUGGGGAACUGCGUCUGAUACUGGAUGGCUUGAGUGCAGGAGAGGAACGCGGAAUUCCAGGUGUAGCGGUGAAAUGCGUAGAUAUCUGGAGGAACACCGGUGGCGAAGGCGGCGUUCUGGACUGUAACUGACACUGAGGAACGAAAGCCAGGGGUAGCAAACGGGGAUUAGGAUACCCCCGGGUAGUCCUGGCCCUAAACGGAUGAAUGCUUGGUGUAACGGGUAUCGAUCCCUGUUGUGCCGAAGCUAACGCAUUAAGCNUCGCGCGGAGUACGUCGCGAGCGNGAACACAANAGAGUAGAGCGUGAGAGNGCGACGGACGACGACGAGGGAGGAGG